GACGAACGCUGGCGGCGUGCCUAAUACAUGCAAGUCGAGCGGAGCGGCGGACGGGUGAGUAAUGCCUAGGAAUCUGCAUGGUAGUGGGGGAUAACGUCCGGAAACGGGCGCUAAUACCGCAUACUAUCAGAUGAGCCUAGGUCGGAUUAGCUAGUUGGUGGGGUAAAGGCCUACCAAGGCGACGAUCCGUAACUGGUCUGAGAGGAUGAUCAGUCACACUGGAACUGAGACACGGUCCAGACUCCUACGGGAGGCAGCAGUGGGGAAUAUUGGACAAUGGGCGAAAUCCUGAUCCAGCCAUGCCGCGUGUGUGAAGAAGGUCUUCGGUUUGUAAAGCUCGUUAAGUUGGGAGGCGUUACCGACAGAAUAAGCACUGGCUAACUCUGUGCCAGCAGCCGCGGUAAUUC
rnacentral:rRNA from 1 species